UGGUGAGUGGAAGCCGAGGGCCGCCGCGGUUGCAAGAACUGGGCUGUGGUGCACGCCGAAGCGAACCAUGGGCUAAUAGAGCGAAGGUAGUGCUUGGAGUUCGAAGGAAAGUUUGCCAGAGUUCACGUCUCGUGGGGAACUUCACUGUGUCGACGAUGGCCAGCCUCGUCGUCGAUUGUGUCGAUGGCCAGCCUCGUCGUUGAUUGAGCAUCGCGGCCAAGUCUGUUGUGACCGGGAUUCUUCAACACGUUCCACCUCGAGGUAUGGAUCCAAAUGCUAGCAGCAGCAUCUCUCAACUACUUCCGCGUGAUGCGAUGGUGCUGGGUACGUAGAUGUGCUUCCGCUCUCUGCUGCAUGCCGUUGUAGGCCAUCCUAUUGCCUCUCACGCCCUAAAACCGGGUCUCCGGCUAACCACCUAGCUUGCGGACAAACUCUCGCCGACGGAGGUUCACCAUGCCGCAUGGACAGCUUCGCCUUGCCUCCUAACCUUCGGUAAUGCCCCUUGGAUCGAUUCGACACCUUCUCUGCAUUGCUUAGCACCUAGUUACGCUUGGAAUCAAGCCCUGGCAUGAUAAUUGGGUGCUCCGCGGUCAUGGCGCCGCCGUGGGUAGGGCCGGCGUGCUGCCGUAUUCCGGCUGGGAGGAAGAAAACUGGCAGCCAUUGGAUUGGAAGUUGACGGUUAGGAUGGGUUAUGGGAAGGAUGUACCGUGGACCGUUGAUCGCGGAAUGGACGUAUCGGAUUAGAUUCACAUAUACCCGUUCGACUCAUUAAAUCCAGGGCGUAGAUCUUGGAUCCUAGGGCUCGGGUUGCGUACCGAUUUGUGCGCGGCCAGAUUUAAUCGUGACCUUUGGUUUGGAUCGGACGGCUCUGAAUCAACGAUACCCCUUCGCCCUGGCUUUCUUUCUAAAGAGACCCCGGAAAACUUGCUAUUCAACCCGCGGUCUAUCGCCUGGGUUCUCUGUGUCUUGGUGCACUUUGCGCCAGGGCCCCUGCACUUCCUAAUAUUAGUGGGCCCAGUCCAGAGUAUUAUAAAACAGAGAAAAUAAUUUAUAAAUGGGUUUUUAAUAGAUAAAUAAAUGCUAGAACUUGUUUAAAUCAUAGAAAAUCCAUUUUUAGUCCAAAUUAAUCCAUUCCACUUUCUAAAAUUUUGUAAUUUUAUUAUCUACCACCUAGAGCCUCUGUUUUGUCAUGAAAACAAUUAGAAAUUUAAUCUCUCACUUAAUCCAUUCUAAGCACAUAGAAUCUUUGGAAAUCCAUAACUUAAAAUCUAUAACUCCGAAAUUAAUGAUUCCUGUUCCUAUGAUCUUAUUUUAAUAUGUAUAUUAUUAAUGUGUAUUUUGUUCUUAUGUGUGGUGUAAUGUUAAUUUUGCCUAUACCAUGUUUGUUUGAAUUGCUACGACUAGCAGUGAGGUCACGAGUCACCUGAAGAUCAUCCUGGUACCUGGAAUCUCAAGUCCCAGGCAAGUUGUGCCCUUGAUCACUUCUUUUACCCACUCAUGUUCUAAUUAAUCAUAAUGAUCUGCAUAGGUUAAUUUGAUGGGACCUAAUAGGUUACCCUAGAUUGUCUAUCUUUAUACCUUGUUUACCACUGAACUUUUUGGGUAGUACUUGCUAGUGCUUUAUGUGGUUUUGGGUAUGAAGAUACAUUAUUCAUGAUCACACUUUUAUUAUCAGUUUAUUAUUACUGUUCAUGAUAAGAUCAUUAUGUUAAUUGGAACAUGGAGAACCACCCGGGAAAACAGUGCUACCACAAGGGAGGAAUGGGACCCCUUGGCUGAUUAAUUAGGAAAGCUAGUGGAAGACUACCUUACCCGAAAGGGGCAAGGGCAGUAGGGGAGUGGUCAUUGUAGGGAGGCCCUCGGGAGGAUUUUGCUGCAAUGGCGGUCCUGCAAGGGAUUCCUGCAUUGGAGCUUCCUAUAAACUGUAGCGGGUUUUCUGAAGCUAGUGGAACUUUGUAAAGGCAUCGUAGUGUUACCCUGCCUCGCCUCCUCGGUAGAGGUGUAUGGGAAGUCGCGAUCCCUUGGCAGAUGGGUAACAUGACUUGUGGGUAAAGAUGCGCAACCUCUGCAGAGUGUAAAACUGGUAUACUAGUCGUGCUCACGGUCAUGAGCAGCUCGGACCCUCACAUGAUUAAAUUAUGGAACUAAAUUCAAUUUGUCAUAUGCAUUGCAUCGCAGGUGAUGUUGUUACUACUUUUGUUCUACUACUUAAUUGGGGUAUUUACUUAUACUUAGUAAUUGCUAAUAAAAUUUUGACCAACUUUAAAAGCAAUGCUCAGCUUCAACCAUCCUCUUUGGUAAGCCUUACACUUCACGUGAGCUCCCACCUUUGGCGAGUUCAUGCACAUUAUUCCCCACAACUUGUUGAGCGAUGAACGUAUGUGAGCUCACUCUUGCUGUCUCACACCCCCACAGGUCAAAAACAGGUACCACAGGAUGAGGCGCAUGGAGGAUGCUGUGAUGAGUUCGUGAGAGGUCUAGGCCGUCAUCUCCCAGUCAACUUUGGGUUGCUGGACCGUUGUCUCCCUAUAAUGUAAUUAUUUAUUUUGUAUAGAAUUCCUGUUAUAUAUAAAGAUGUGACAUUCGAUCCUGUGCCAUUAUACAUCAUAUGUGUGAGACUUGGUCCCAGCAUACCUGGUGUUUAUGUUCGCGCCCGGGUCUUGGUGCCCCCGAAAUCCGGAUGUGACAGAAGUGGUAUCAGAGGAAUGUUGACUGUAGGACGAAACCUAGAUAGAACUGGACAACCAUUGUCUACUUACCUUUGCUACUCUGAUCUUUUCUAAACUUUCCUUAAUCUUUCUCAUCUAUUUCCGCUUUACUCUGAUUAUUCUUACCUUUUCAUUCUAAAGACAAAUGUGGAUUUCACACUUUGAAGUCAUGUAUCUAAAGUAACUUUUAGGAGUAGGAGACCUAUUCUUAGGAAUAAAAAAACAAAACUAUUUUUUUAUUUAUAUGCUUGAAUGUUUGUUCUUGUAAUACAUGUCUGAUUUGGAUCUUUGAUUAAGUGUGAUGAGUUAUGGAGUAAUGUCCACAAUUACAUCUGUAUAUACAUAUAGGCAUAAAUAUAAAUAAAUAAAAUUCAUAAGAUAGCUAAUCAACUUGGAAUAUCCCUCGUUAAAAUAUAUUUAGCUUAAUAGAUCUAUCUUAUCUUAAAAGAUACACUAUUACCUUAGUAGAUUCAUCUUAUCUUGAAAGAUUCAUAUUAUCCAAACCACUUGAUUUAUCCCACCAUGAUCAUGAUCUAGACCAAAAUAAUGAGAUCUUAACUAGUUUAAUCUAGUCAUAUUCAGUCUAAUUUAGAUCCUAUCUAAGCUUAUAUGAUCCAAUCUAGUGUGAGUUACUUAAUGCUGGUACAAAGGAUAAGGCCAUACUCCAAAUUCACUUAAGCCUAAAUUGGUGACUUAGAGCAACUAAGCCCUACACGACAACUUGACCUACAUAAUAGGUUACAUAACUUAUCCAACCAACCUAGAAGCAAAACAACAAGAUAGACAGUGCUUAAAUUUACUUAACUCAUAACCACCUCCUACCCUACUUUGGGUACAUACAAAUCUGCCUUAACUACAUGUUCCUAAUUCGGAUAACAACUUCAAGAACAAAGAUCGAAGAUGAUCGGCUUCAUCAAAUCAAGGAAGAAUAAGAUUCAAGCUAGAUCCUCAAGGGAAUCAAGAUCCACAAUCUUGGAUGGAGUCUUUUCUUACCCUACUCUUUCUUACCCCAAACCUAUAAAUGCUUUAAAGAUAUCUUUUAUCCUGCAUAAUAAAGUGGCUAUACCCAUAAAGACCCAGGCUUUCCUAAUCACUUGAUGAUUUGCGAUAUAGAAAAAAAAAAGAAAAGUUUUGGUAUUAAAAUCAAUUAGAAACUAACCCAUAGACUACAAAUAAUUUCUUCUACAUCCUUUUUCUUACAAAUCUCGAGGACGAGAUUUCUGUUAAGGGGGGUAGGAUUUGUAGAGCCCAAAAUUUGUAUCAAAGAAAAAUAAGGUUAUAAAUAAAUAAAUAUGUUUAUAAGUGGGUAUCUUGGGGUUAUGGAACCCUUGAGAUCAUUUGAGUUUGUUUUAUUUGUGCAUAUACAGUAAAUGGAAUUAUAUUGGUUAAACAACAAAUAAAUAAAUAUAGAAAAAAUGCAUAUCAUGCUGGAUUUCCUGUAUUUUCGCAUUUGUAUUCAAAUUUGUGAGACAAGUUUAUUUUGGAAAAUAGAACUUGAAAAUGGAAAGAAAGGAUUAAAAACAACAAAAAGGGGACCUUCAAUACUCGUCACGGGCCGAAUUCUUCCCUGGCUCGGCCCAGCUCGGGUCUUCCUCGGCCCAUGUGGCCGCGCGCGCUCACUCACUGGCGUCGUGACCCACGCCGUCAGCCACUCCUCUCCUUUCUCUCAGCGCGCACACCGACGGAUGGGGCCAGUCGCUCAGAUCAUCUUCCUCCUAACCACCUGCGCAACAACCGCGCGCCUGCUGUGGGGUCGGGCGCUGGGAAACUCGGACUUGGCCUCGCGCUUACUCAAACUUGAGCUAACCCCGAUCUGUAGGGUCCGCCUCGCUAGGCGUAUCCUCUUCUCCAUCCAUAACAGCCAUGGCCAAACUCCAUGGCCAGUCCCCCGCUCGCAUGCACCGAUUUGAGCUCCAUGGCUCAACCGCCCAUGCAGAGUCGUCGGGUUCUGUUACAACCACCCGUUCUCCCAGCUGGCCGCCAGGUGCGGACUCCAUGGGCCAUAUAAAGUCGUGCCCGGGUCUCCUGUUGUGUGGUGAGUGGAAGCCGAGGGCCGCCGCGGUUGCAAGAACUGGGCUGUGGUGCACGCCGAAGCGAACCAUGGGCUAAUAGAGCGAAGGUAGUGCUUGGAGUUCGAAGGAAAGUUUGCCAGAGUUCACGUCUCGUGGGGAACUUCACUGUGUCGACGAUGGCCAGCCUCGUCGUUGAUUGUGUCGAUGGCCAGCCUCGUCGUUGAUUGAGCAUCGCGGCCAAGUCUGUUGUGACCGGGAUUCUUCAACACGUUCCACCUCGAGGUAUGGAUCCAAAUGCUAGCAGCAGCAUCUCUCAACUACUUCCGCGUGAUGCGAUGGUGCUGGGUACGUAGAUGUGCUUCCGCUCUCUGCUGCAUGCCGUUGUAGGCCAUCCUAUUGCCUCUCACGCCCUGAAACCGGGUCUCCGGCUAACCACCUAGCUUGCGGACAAACUCUCGCCGACGAAGGUUCACCGUGCCGCGUGGACAGCUUCGCCUUGCCUCCUAACCUUCGGUAAUGCCCCUUGGAUCAAUUCGACACCUUCUCUGCAUUGCUUAGCACCUAGUUACGCUUGGAAUCAAGCCCUGGCAUGAUAAUUGGGUGCUCCGCGGUCAUGGCGCCGCCGUGGGUAGGGCCGGCGUGCUGCCGUAUUCCGGCUGGGAGGAAGAAAACUGGCAGCCAUUGGAUUGGAAGUUGACGGUUAGGAUGGGUUAUGGGAAGGAUGUACCGUGGACCGUUGAUCGCGGAAUGGACGUAUCGGAUUAGAUUCACGUAUACCCGUUCGACUCAUUAAAUCCAGGGCGUAGAUCUUGGAUCCUAGGGCUCGGGUUGCGUACCGAUUUGUGCGCGGCCAGAUUUAAUCGUGACCUUUGGUUUGGAUCGGACGGCUCUGAAUCAACGAUACCCCUUCGCCCUGGCUUUCUUUCUAAAGAGACCCCGGAAAACUUGCUAUUCAACCCGCGGUCUAUCGCCUGGGUUCUCUGUGUCUUGGUGCACUUUGCGCCAGGGCCCCUGCACUUCCUAAUAUUAGUGGGCCCAGUCCAGAGUAUUAUAAAACAGAGAAAAUAAUUUAUAAAUGGGUUUUUAAUAGAUAAAUAAAUGCUAGAACUUGUUUAAAUCAUAGAAAAUCCAUUUUUAGUCCAAAUUAAUCCAUUCCACUUUCUAAAAUUUUGUAAUUUUAUUAUCUACCACCUAGAGCCUCUGUUUUGUCAUGAAAACAAUUAGAAAUUUAAUCUCUCACUUAAUCCAUUCUAAGCACAUAGAAUCUUUGGAAAUCCAUAACUUAAAAUCUAUAACUCCGAAAUUAAUGAUUCCUGUUCCUAUGAUCUUAUUUUAAUAUGUAUAUUAUUAAUGUGUAUUUUGUUCUUAUGUGUGGUGUAAUGUUAAUUUUGCCUAUACCAUGUUUGUUUGAAUUGCUACGACUAGCAGUGAGGUCACGAGUCACCUGAAGAUCAUCCUGGUACCUGGAAUCUCAAGUCCCAGGCAAGUUGUGCCCUUGAUCACUUCUUUUACCCACUCAUGUUCUAAUUAAUCAUAAUGAUCUGCAUAGGUUAAUUUGAUGGGACCUAAUAGGUUACCCUAGAUUGUCUAUCUUUAUACCUUGUUUACCACUGAACUUUUUGGGUAGUACUUGCUAGUGCUUUAUGUGGUUUUGGGUAUGAAGAUACAUUAUUCAUGAUCACACUUUUAUUAUCAGUUUAUUAUUACUGUUCAUGAUAAGAUCAUUAUGUUAAUUGGAACAUGGAGAACCACCCGGGAAAACAGUGCUACCACAAGGGAGGAAUGGGACCCCUUGGCUGAUUAAUUAGGAAAGCUAGUGGAAGACUACCUUACCCGAAAGGGGCAAGGGCAGUAGGGGAGUGGUCAGUGUAGGGAGGCCCUCGGGAGGAUUUUGCUGCGAUGGCGGUCCUGCAAGGGAUUCCUGCAUUGGAGCUUCCUAUAAACUGUAGCGGGUUUUCUGAAGCUAGUGGAACUUUGUAAAGGCCUCGUAGUGUUACCCUGCCUCGCCUCCUCGGUAGAGGUGUAUGGGAAGUCGCGAUCCCUUGGCAGAUGGGUAACAUGACUUGUGGGUAAAGAUGCGCAACCUCUGCAGAGUGUAAAACUGGUAUACUAGCCGUGCUCACGGUCAUGAGCAGCUCGGACCCUCACAUGAUUAAAUUAUGGAACUAAAUUCAAUUUGUCAUAUGCAUUGCAUCGCAGGUGAUGUUGUUACUACUUUUGUUCUACUACUUAAUUGGGCUUGGUAUUUACUUAUACUUAGUAAUUGCUAAUAUAAUUUUGACCAACUUUAAAAGCAAUGCUCAGCUUCAACCAUCCUCUUUGGUAAGCCUUACACUUCACGUGAGCUCCCACCUUUGCCGAGUUCAUGCACAUUAUUCCCCACAACUUGUUGAGCGAUGAACGUAUGUGAGCUCACUCUUGCUGUCUCACACCCCCACAGGUCAAAAACAGGUACCACAGAAUGAGGCGCAUGGAGGAUGCUGUGAUGAGUUCGUGAGAGGUCUAGGCCAUCGUCUCCCAGUCAACUUUGGGUUGCUGGACCGUUGUCUCCCUAUAAUGUAAUUAUUUAUUUUGUAUAGAAUUCCUGUUAUAUAUAAAGAUGUGACAUUCGAUCCUGUGCCACUAUACAUCAUAUGUGUGAGACUUGGUCCCAG
rnacentral:lncRNA from 1 species